AAUAGAUACCCAGGUAGUCCACGCCGUAAACGAUGUCGACUUGGAGGUUGUUCCCUUGAGGAGUGGCUUCCGGAGCUAACGCGUUAAGUCGACCGCCUGGGGAGUACGGCCGCAAGGUUAAAACUCAAAUGAAUUGACGGGGGCCCGCACAAGCGGUGGAGCAUGUGGUUUAAUUCGAUGCAACGCGAAGAACCUUACCUACUCUUGACAUCCAGAGAACUUAGCAGAGAUGCUUUGGUGCCUUCGGGAACUCUGAGACAGGUGCUGCAUGGCUGUCGUCAGCUCGUGUUGUGAAAUGUUGGGUUAAGUCCCGCAACGAGCGCAACCCUUAUCCUUUGUUGCCAGCGGUUCGGCCGGGGAACUCAAAGGAGACUGCCAGUGAUAAACUGGAGGAAGGUGGGGAUGACGUCAAGUCAUCAUGGCCCUUACGAGUAGGGCUACACACGUGCUACAAUGGCGUAUACAAAGAGAAGCGACCUCGCGAGAGCAAGCGGACCUCAUAAAGUACGUCGUAGUCCGGAUUGGAGUCUGC
rnacentral:rRNA from 1 species